AUGUCGGCCAUCUCCAAAGGCAAGGAUCAGAACACAGGACCUGCUGGAUACCGGAGGAGGCUUAUGAGAGACAGAGGAAGCUGCCCCAGGGACCGGGGACUGAGAGACCAAGGGACCAAGGGACCAGAGAGCCCAGAGACCAGCCCAUCUUUGGCUUUGCCGAAUGACUUUGGACAGCCUCUCUACCUUCCUGGGCUUCCAUUUCUCCAUCCACAAAACGUGUCAUCUACUGAGUACCUCCUCCAGGCCGGUCAGAGAGCUGGCGCCUUCUCCUCUGCCCUUCUGCUAUGAAGAUUGAAGGAGGUACAGUGUGUGACUGAACCCUGGACACAUAGGCCACAGAUGGUCUCGUUCACUUGGCAGCCCUCACCACACUUCAGUCACAGCUUCCUUCCCAUGCUUCAUUAGCCAAGUUAGUGGUGGUGGGGGGUGCAUCAGGGAUACCUGAGAACUCGUUAAAAUGCAGAUUGCCUAGCCCCGGCCCCAGAGGUUCUGAUUCAGUGGGUCAAGGCUGGUCCUGGGACUCUGCAGUUUUUACAACUUCCCAGGCUGUGUGCCACAAGUACUUUGAACAUGGCACUUGAAGGUUCAUUGUAAUAGAUGGACUGAUGUCAGGAGACAGGCAUGGAUGUCAUCCGGUGAGCUUGAGUCUCGAUGAUGAAAGUUAAGAAGUUCUUCCCUGAAAAAUGUACAAACCCACCUAUCUACAAGAUCUUGCAUAGUUUCAGGCAAUUCCUGGAUCCUUAAAAACCAACCAUGGAUCCCUGCUCCCAGCGUCAGGAUGAUCCACUGGUCUAAACACCAGGCCUCAGCUCACCUCUGACAUGUAGGCUGCCCAGCCCUCCCGACAAAAUCGCUUCUCUGUGUUCACACGAUGCUUAGUGAGGAUAAUACUCCAUCAGGGUAGCUGUUUACAGAUCUGCCUCCCCUCCUGGACUAUGGGGACUCGCAAGUGGUCGUUACUCCCCCUUCCUAACCCAUAAAAUUAUACUUCCCUUUGAGGUUAGGCCUAACCAUGUGAUUUACAGUAGCCAAUAAAAUGUCGGUGAU
rnacentral:lncRNA from 1 species